CGCUUUUCAGUGACAGUCCCUGUUAGCAUGGAUGGAUGUCUCCCUACGUUAUUUUUCCAUACUUCCUGUACCAGACUGAACUGAAACCUCUCCAUGUUUCCUCCUAUCUGCACACUCCCUGCUCUCCCUCCUUCAGCCUGCUGACAUCACGCCGCAUAUCAACUGUUUUCAUCAAGCUGUUGUUAUUUUCCUUUCCUCCUGCCAUGAGCUGGCCUUUCCACGGGGGCCACAGAUAUUUUCUCCUCCUCUUUUUUUUUUUUUCUUAAUAGCCUUCAGCUCCUGCAGCAGCAAAUCAAUGGAGCUCCAUUCUGCUGGCGUGGCUUGCAGAGCGAGCGUUCAGCUGCUGACAUCUGCCCCGCCGCGUAACCGAGUGGAUUGGGUUUUCAUCUGUACAUCGGCCACGUGUCACGAGAGGCGGGCGAGAUGAGACGUGGCCGCUUACUGCGGCUCGUGGCUAGUCGUCCAGACAGGAAGCCCAAGGUGCUGCUGACGGAGUCCAGGCGCUCGGCGUCCCGACAAAUAUUCCACCGCUCAAAGCGAGCAGAGAGAACACCGGCGCUGACGUGAGGCCGCUGAUGUCACGCUCUCUGCGUGACGGCAACAGCAGCAAUUGUUCCCCAGCUGUGAAUGUAAUCAUGUCCCCAACACACACACACACACACACAUGCACAAUCUGAUGUUUAGUUGAAGCCUGGAGAUAAUUCCAAAUAUAGCAUGGGGGUGAGGGGGAGUUGAGUGAAUCAUCAGGAGCUGCUAAGUGUGUGUGUGUGUGUGUGUGUGUGUGUGUGUGUGUGUGUGUGUGUGUGUGUUUGCCUUUUGCUGAGCUUAUAUUCAUCAGCUGUUCUCUUUGAAAUACACACACAAACAUUUUAGCAAAUAUCGGUUUCUGCAUUUUUUUUUCCCUGUUACAGUUGCCUGUGAAACUAUUCCUGCAUUUUGAAUGUUUUUUUAUACAUUAGGUGAACUAGGGUGAGAAUUUAUUGUAUCGUUUAUCAUUUAUUGUGAACAUUUCUUGUCAUGAUAAGAAUUUCGAGUUAUCGCUGUCUUGAUAAAUUUCAAUUCUAAACUAAACUAAACUAACAUUGGAAAUAUUUGUAGUAUUUUGUAAGCUGUUCCACAAAAUAAAUUAACAGCGUUAGCUUCUGGGCUAACACGGAAGUUAACAGCAUUAGUUUCUGGGCUAACACAGAAGUUAACAGCAUUAGCUUCUGGGCUAACACGGAAGUUAACAGCAUUAGCUUCUGGGCUAACACGGAAGUUAACAGCAUUAGCUUCUGGGCUAACAUGGAAGUUAACAGCGUUAGCUUCUGGCCAGGUAUCGCCUCUGGAAGCCCACAGACAAGAUGCUCCAAAAUAUGUAAAGAAACUUGUAGAAUAUUUUUCUCACUUUCAUUCUCUAUUCAAUACUUAUUUCAUUUAUUUAUCAUACAUGGUGCCCCAUGCAUGCCAAUUUUAGUUAGCUAUGCUAUGCCAGCUUGAGAUCAAAGCGUUGAUAAAUCUGACUUGCAGCCAGUCAGAAAGAUGAGCAUGGCAAAUAGCAUUUCUAUAAAGUAUUUUAACUUAUGCUGUAUGAUAAUGGUUGAGAAACAAAUUAGAUUUUAUGAUUUUUUUAAAAAUGAUUAAAAAAAUAUAUUAGAAUUAAUUAUUUUUGUUGCAUUUUCUCCCCCUUAUCUUCCCUCCCCUUUUCUUUUUUGCUUGAUCUGCUCCUUUAAACUCUGAAGAAAGGCUCACAGUGUAUGUCACAUUGUGAAGGUUAAACCCGCUCCGGCCACAGACACGUCCAGCCUCAUGAAAGAACAUCAUGUACUGAAGCCUGUACGCGUGAGCAGCCAUUAGCGUCCACCGCUGUGGAGCAGCUGGAAUAAAUGCACAGGAGAAUUGCAUUCAGAGUCAGAGGACUUCAGAACAGCAGUUUAGCCUGAAGGUUAUCUUAAGAGACUCUGGGGCGGAAAAAAGGAAAAAAGAAAGGAGAUUCACAUUGGCAGGCUCCCCGGAGACAGACCUUAAACCUUGAGAAAGCCUGACGAGCUACAUGAAAAGGCAGUGACUCAUCUAAUCUUGUUUUAUCGCCGUGCCAAUCUGUAUUCAUGCAGACAACUCAUCCCAGUAAGUCUGCAUGUUCGCCCCCCUGCUCUGCUCACAGAGCUCACGUUGUUGCUGCUGCAGAGGCUUCCUCUCAGGUUCGGUAAAUGUUCUGUUUUCCAUUUUGCCGACAAGCUUAUCGAGGAUUCAUCAGGUAUAGCUCUGGAGGGUUCACGACCUCACAUUGGGGAAGGUGGGGGGGAAGGAUGAAGGGGUUGGGAGGAGGAGUGUUGUGGCAUCAGCUCAGAUGGUGUCUGACAGCCGACUUUACAGAACAAAGCCUUCCUUUAUCUCCUGCCUUUUUACGCAAAUAUCUUCAUCACAUUACAUCAAGAGUGGAAUGUUCCAGUGCUGGGUUUCCUUUACCUCUGCAGAAAAGAAAAGAUCUUAAUUCCCUGCAGGCCUGGAUCAACCUAAGGAGGGGAUGAACCUAGUUUAUUCUGUUUGGUAAAAUAAACUACAAUAUUUACAGUAUGAACUACAGAUGUUUGUUUUAGAAGCAGUAGGACUUUCAGGUUAUUAGGCAAUAAUCCGAUUCCAACCUUGGCCGUGUAACAAUGGCGUCUUUAUUAUUUUUUAUUCUUUAUAUAUUGCUUAUAUUCUGAUUAUUGUUGCCUUUGGACAACCUGGACAGUAAGUCAAUAACAAUAUAUAAUGUGAUAGGCACGUGAUCAGUAUCAAUGAAUAGCACGUCUAGAAUGUUCUGUAAUUUCACUGAACCACAUUGCAUUCUGGGAGAUGUAGGCAGAAGAAACGCUCUGGCUGCUCAACCGCUCACGGCUAGCUAAGCAAGGUUGGUGGCAUCAACUAACUCACUUACUCUUUGGUUACCUAGCAACUCGCUCUCUCUUUGGUUACCCAGCAACAACCCGUUGAGUAACCUGUGCAGCAGCAGUUUCAGGUUUUGCCGCAUCCUGCCUCAGAAGUGCUUAAAAAUUAA